GACGGAAGGUGCAAGCGUUGCUCGGAAUCACUGGGCGUAAAGGGUGCGUAGGCGGCUUGGUAGGUCUGGUGUGAAAGCCCCGGGCUCAGCCCGGGAAGGGCACUAGAAACUGCCAAGCUAGAGUGCCGGAGGGGAGAGUGGAAUUCCCGGUGUAGCGGUGAAAUGCGCAGAUAUCGGGAGGAACACCAGUAGCGAAGGCGGCACUCUGGGCCGGUACUGACACUGAGGAGCGAAAGCGUGGGGAGCGAACAGG
rnacentral:rRNA from 1 species